UACGUAGGGCGCAAGCGCUGUCCGGAAUUAUUGGGCGUAAAGAGCUCGUAGGCGGCGUGUCACGUCGGAUGUGAAAGCCCGGGGCUUAACUCCGGGUCUGCAUUCGAUACGGGCUGGCUAGAGUGUGGUAGGGGAGAUCGGAAUUCCUGGUGUAGCGGUGAAAUGCGCAGAUAUCAGGAGGAACACCGGUGGCGAAGGCGGAUCUCUGGGCCAUUACUGACGCUGAGGAGCGAAAGCGUGGGGAGCGAACAGG
rnacentral:rRNA from 1 species